CCCUUAGAUGUCCUGGGCCGCACGCGCGCUACACUGAUGAAGGCAGCGAGUCCACCUUGGUCGGAAGGCCCGGGUAAUCUUGUGAAACUUCAUCGUGAUGGGGAUAGAUCAUUGCAAUUAUUGAUCUUCAACGAGGAAUUCCUAGUAAGCGCAAGUCAUCAGCUUGCGUUGAUUACGUCCCUGCCCUUUGUACACACCGCCCGUCGCUCCUACCGAUUGUGUGCACAGGUGAGGACUAGGGAGCCCCGAUGUAGGGUAGUUUCUACCCCACUUUGGGACGAACUUGUCCAAAUCUUUUCACAUAGAGGAAGGAGAAGUCGUAACA
rnacentral:rRNA from 1 species